rnacentral:lncRNA from 1 species
GGAUAGCUGGUGUGGCCUGCUUUCACAAGAGGCGUCUCCCUGGAAGGGGAGGGCCAGUUCAGGUCCCCUUGAGUGGCUGGGCCAUAUUGUCAGCAGGCUCACCUCUAGAUUGCAGCAGGCAGCCUGGGAUGCCCACGCCUGCCAAGGAGGAGAUGACCUCAAGACAAGCAGCUUCCAUGCAAUACUGCAGCAAGGGCUUACUUUCCUGAGCAUUUCCCACGCUCCAAUCACUGCUCUAAUUCCUUUAGAUGUGUUAACUCACUUCCUGCUCACAAUACUUCUAUGAGGCACUCAGCAGCUGUUUCCUGAGCUGAUGUACAUCUCAUUAGUCUAUCAAGCUCCAACAGCCAAGGCCAAGGCCCCCAGAAUGAAAAACUGACGCAGCCACCCCUUCCUGUGCCAGAGACAGGAGAAGGGAGGGAGACUGACGGCCUUUGUUCUCUGAGCAAGACCGUAAAGCACUUCGCCUACAGGCCACAAGAGGGCGAUGGUGGUCCACACAUAAGAUCUUCCCAAAGAGCCAGCCAAAAACGCCUGCCUGGAGAAUCUGGAGGUUGUGAAAGGUGACUUUGUUAAGGAAGGGCGAUGGCCCUUCUCCCUGCCCCAGAGCUCUGAAAGCCUUUAAAGUGGCUUUAGCAGCGUGGUUUAAGAAUGGCUCCUUCGGUACAAGGACGGCCAUCACUGCUUCUCCUACUGUGUUUGAUGCCAGCGUUCUUCCCGUCUGCAGGGAAGGACGGAGAGUGAGGAGGGCACACAGGACGUAGCUGGCUCCUGGCCAUGGACGGUGACCGCUCUGGGGCCAGCAGGGUAGAGCUGCCUUCCUACAUCUGAGAACUCAAGGGCGAGAGGGAGGCAGGGCAGGGGAGAGGGUUGGUCUCAGUUCACAGGGCGACCCUCUGGCCCUGGUUCUGACGGCGACUCGCUGUGUAAGCUAAGGAGUGUCUCGCUCUGUACAGCGGGCAGGUGGUGGGUCUCUGCACGUCCAGCAUCUCCAGCUUUCCGUCCUCUGAGCUGUUUUGACAUGGGAGGCGCUGGCAGGGAGAGAGGGGUCACUGAUGUGGGAAGCUGGUGCAGAGCUGGGGAGUAGCUUGUGAUGCUGGAGAACCUGGAGAUGCCCCUCCCAUUCCUUGGGCCUCGACUGUCUCAUCUGUGGAAUGGGCGGGUCAGACUGGAUAAUCUCUAACCAUUGCUUCCCUUCACUUCUGUCCCAAUAAACACACACGGAGCUUUUUCGUUUGUCUUUUGUCUUUUUUUUUUUUUUUUUUUUUUUUUUAGAGACGAGGUCUCACUAUGUUGUUCCCCAGGUCUGAGUACAG